CCAUCACAAGUUUCAAUCAUAUCAUACGGAUCAAAUUGGAUCCCAAAAAUUAUUUAUUAUUGGAGUUCACAAAUUCUUCCCACCCUUUGGGGCUUCGAUUUCGUUGGACAUGUUGAUGGGAGCGCAUCCUGUGUCCUCCACCCCUUAUUUCAAAGCCAGUUGACUCCUUACCUGGAAACAAGCCUCAAGAUGAAAGCAGUAUCAACGCUAUUUUGAAUCUAGACCAUAUUAUCUGGCAAAAUCAGGAUCAACUUCUUCUAAGUUGGAUUCUUUCUUCAAUCAUUGAAGUUGUUAUGGCUCAAGUUGUGGGGUGUAAAAACCUUUUAUGAAGCUUGGAAUGCUCUUGAGAAGAUGUAAUUAUCACAAUCAACAGCUCGCAUAAUGCAAAUGCGACUUCAACUUCAAAAUGCUAAGAAAGGCUUAUCAUCUAUGACUGAUUACUUUGCAAAAGACGAAAACUAUUGCCGACGCUUCGGCAGCAAUAAUGAAUCCAGUCAAUGAGCAAGAUCUGAUUCUUAGUAUUCUCUCUUGUUUGGGGCCUCGGUAUAACUCUUUUGUGGUCUACCGCGCAUUGAGCCUCUUUUUCUCGAAGAUAUUACAGCUCUCGACAACAAUCUUAUCAAGCACAUGUCAGAGGAAGCAGCAACUCUCAAUAUCGGUUUCCCAACAAACCAAAAAUUCAAUGCCAAAUUUGUGUGAAAUUUGGUCAUAGUGCUCUCCAAUGUUACCAUCGAUUCAACCACAGCUACAACUCUGACAAUCUUUCUCAACUCAAUGCUCUUUUUGCAACCUCCGCUACUAUACAAGACCCUUCUUGGUAUGUUGAUUCAGGCGCUUCAAAUCUUCUUACAACUGCUAUGAACAACCUUUCACUUCAAAAUAAAUAUCAUGCGCCGGACCAAGUAACCGUUGGAAAUGAUUUGGCAGUAUUGGAGAAGUCAAACCCUAUUCUGAAGCAAGGCGGCUUUGGAGGCUUCUUCGCUUGUAAAGGUUUUAAAUAUGCCUAAUGCCGGUUUCACCUACCUUUAUCAUAUUCUAAAGGCAUAUGGUCGUAUAUCUAGUGUAGAGCAGCUCCUGCAGAGUAGAAAGAGGGUCUUGGCAGUAUUUCUUCAACCCUAAUACAGGGAUUUGCUGAGGGGAGCUGUUGAAAGCUGAUUGAGAGAGGUUUUAGCAGCUGUAGAAGUAGAGUUUUAUAGUGGUUCUUCAACUCAAAUUCAGGGGAAGAGCUGGAUUAAAGUUUUCAGAAGCAGCUUGCAUAUCCACUUUGAGCUGAAAAUAGUGGUGAUUAAGAGCUGGUUUGGGUUGCUCCAACCUAAGUGGGAGUGGAGGUUUAACUCUGGUCUGAACCUAGGGAGUUUGAUUACUUUAAGUUGAAGUUUGUAAUCUUCGAGAGGUUAGAAUUGGUGUAUUCUAACCCGAUUUCAAGUGGAGUUCGAGAUUGGAUUUCAUAUUAGGGCGCUUGGAGAUCAGCGAAACCUUCGCUAACGUGAUCGUUAAGACUCGUCAACUGAUUGGUGGGUUUGACCUCACCGAAAUGGGUGACUUUCCCCUAUGUUCUUAUCUCUUGGCAUAGUUUUAGAAUUAUGCAUAUGUGUCGCUAAUGGCGUCAUAAGCGAGUUGUGGGAUGUACUAAUUGCAUUUACAUCAUAUUACUGUUUAUACUCUAUUUGGUAGAGAGCUAUAAAGGUUAAAUUCCUUGCAUGAUAACACAUAUCAUUGUGUAGACAAGUCGCGAGUAAAUAUACUAUGCUUAAAUUAGCAAGAAUGACAUAUUGCUGUGUAUUCUAAUGGUUGUUGCAUAUGUAUAGAACAUAUGAAACAUGUAUUAGAAUGUGAUUAAUAUACUUGGGUAAACAAGUUAAACUUGACAUCCUACUAAUGAAACUACCAUGUACUUCAUGCUACUAGCAUUUGUUAUCGUAUUUAGAUCCCGACCUAUAGGUCAGUAGAGGACAUUCCGUGUUUGAGAUAUGACGACCGAGGAACUGGUAUUAUGGAUCAUGUUUGCUUGCCAUUGUGCUCAUUCGCACAUGCUUGUAAGGGUCGCUCCCCACAAGCCGGCUGUCACGCCAUCGGGUUCAGGCACGCCGACAGACCGCCGAACGGACAGAGUUUCCCCUGUACGUCCUAGGCGUCGCAAUCAAUACAAUACAAAGGUUCCCACCAAGAACAGUAUUCAACAUACAGAUUGCAUAAGGAAGUAUCAAAAACAUAAACAACUAGCUAUUACAAGCAUUCACAUUAGAUGCAUUUUUCAUCACAAUUACAUUUUUCUUCCAACAUACAAUCUGAGUUAUUACAACAUUUACUUAUUACAAAAUUGAUACAUUUGUUCUUUUCAUCUCUAUACCCCUAGGAUAUGCCGACUCGGGAUACUUCUAUCUCUGGUCUCUGAGGUAGGGCGCUACCUACGGAGCUACGCCCUUUCCUCGCGCCGCCGCGCCGCUCACGUACGAACCUAUAACACCCCAAAGC